GAUGAAGAACGUAGCGAAAUGCGAUAAGUAAUGCGAAUUGCAGAAUCCGUGAGUCAUCGAAUCUUUGAACGCACAUUGCGCCCUUUGGUAUUCCGAAGGGCAUGCCUGUUCGAGCGUCAUUAUCACCACUCAAGCCCGGCUUGCUGUUGGUGGCAGCGCAGCCGGUCAACCGGCUACGCUCCACCCAAAGAUAAUGACGGCGUCUGCGAGGACUCCUGUACAUUGAGCUUUCGGGCACGUACAUGGCUAGAAGUCCAGGCGCCGGUCGACGUCCUCCGGGACACUUUUUACCAAGGUUGACCUCGGAUCAGGUAGGGAUACCCGCUGAACUUAAGCAUAUCAAUAAGCGGAGGA
rnacentral:misc_RNA from 1 species